CCUACGGGGGGCUGCAGUGGGGAAUAUUGCACAAUGGGGGAAACCCUGAUGCAGCGACGCCGCGUGAAGGAAGAAGGUUUUCGGAUCGUAAACUUCUAUCAGCAGGGAAGAAGGAAGUGACAGUACCUGACUAAGAAGCCCCGGCUAACUACGUGCCAGCAGCCGCGGUAAUACGUAGGGGGCGAGCGUUAUCCGGAAUUACUGGGCGUAAAGGGUGCGUAGGCGGCCUUUUAAGUCAGAUGUGAAAGGCUACGGCUUAACCGUAGUUAGCAUUUGAAACUAGAAGGCUUGAGUGCAGGAGAGGAGAGUGGAAUUCCUAGUGUAGCGGUGAAAUGCGUAGAUAUUAGGAGGAACACCAGUGGCGAAGGCGACUCUCUGGACUGCAACUGACGCUGAGGCACGAAAGCGUGGGGAGCGAACAGGAUUAGAUACCCGGGUAGUC
rnacentral:rRNA from 1 species